rnacentral:lncRNA from 1 species
UCAGCUUAUGGUGAUGGAAAGAGAGAUGUCAAUAAUUCCACAUUUUCUGGCUUGCAUUGUUUGAUGAAAGGUGACCCCAUUCCCUGAGUUAAAGAAUGCUGAAAGAAGACCAGGCUUGAGGAGGAAGGAUCAUGCAUUUGCUUUUGGACCUGUAGAGUUUGAGGACAUGUUCAGCACCAGGAGGAAUUUGCAUCCAAGUCCGUCUCCCUGCUAAGUGGUAUUUUGAGAAUUCCGAAGCUUAGUCUCAGAGAAGAGCUGACCUGAACUUGCCGAGGCUCCCACUGCAUUGUAGCUUUUCUCUGGAGAACAAAAACUGCCAUUGUCCAGCAGCUCAUUAGCAUGACUGUACAGCCUCCGGAGUUAGCAAGGUGAUGCAAAAAUAAUAUGACAAGAUCCAUGUCUUCAAUGAGCUACAAUCCUACUGGGACAUGAGACUGUGCUUAUAAUAUGAUGAAAGAAUAAGAAAAUUUUAAAGAUGAAAACACAGCAGCAACAGGUGCCAUUUUGGAAGCAAGAAGCAGAGAACAAGCUCUCACUGGGCAUUAAAUCUGCCGGCAUCUUGAUCUUGAACUUCUCAACCUCCAGA